GUCAGGAUGGCCGAGCGGUCUAAGGUGCUGUAAUCAGGUCUUAGUCCACUUGCGUGGGUUCGAAUUCCAAUUCUGACA